UAUUAGAAUGAUUACAAAUAUAUCUCAAACAUAUUUCAAAUAUAUUUCAAUUAAAUAUUAAUUUAAUCUUAGUUGAAAUCCUAUUAGACUUCAUUCAAACUUUAGGCCAAAAACAAAUAAAUCUUAAAUCCUAAAUAAACUCAAAUAAAAUCCUAAAUCCUAAAUCAAAUCUUGACCAAAUCCUAAACUCUAAAUCAACUUCUAACCGAAUCUUAAUCCUAAAUCAAAUCCUAUCCAAAUCUUAAAUACUAAAUCAAACCCAAAAUCCUAAACCAAAUCAUAAUCCUAAAUCAAAUCCUAAUCAAAUCCUAAUUCCAAAUCAAAUCCUAACCAAAUUCUAAUCCUAAAUCAAAUCCUAAUCAAAUCCUAAACCCUAAAUCAAAUCCUAAAUCCUAAAUCAAAUCCUAAAUCCAAACCAAAUCCUAAAUCCUAAACAAAAUCUUAAUCAAAUCCUAACCCUAAAUCAAAUC
rnacentral:lncRNA from 1 species